GACGAACGCUGGCGGCGUGCUUAACACAUGCAAGUCGAACGGAAAGGCCCCUUCGGGGGUGCUCGAGUGGCGAACGGGUGAGUAACACGUGGGUGAUCUGCCCUGCACUUCGGGAUAAGCUUGGGAAACUGGGUCUAAUACCGGAUAGGACCACAUGCUGCAUGGUGUGUGGUGGAAAGUUUUUAACGGUGUGGGAUGGGCCCGCGGCCUAUCAGCUUGUUGGUGGGGUGAUGGCCUACCAAGGCGACGACGGGUAGCCGGCCUGAGAGGGUGUCCGGCCACACUGGGACUGAGAUACGGCCCAGACUCCUACGGGAGGCAGCAGUGGGGAAUAUUGCACAAUGGGCGCAAGCCUGAUGCAGCGACGCCGCGUGAGGGAUGACGGCCUUCGGGUUGUAAACCUCUUUCAGCAGGGACGAAGCGAGAGUGACGGUACCUGCAGAAGAAGCACCGGCCAACUACGUGCCAGCCGCCGCCGUAAAAC
rnacentral:rRNA from 1 species